rnacentral:rRNA from 1 species
UGGGGAAUAUUGCACAAUGGGCGCAAGCCUGAUGCAGCCAUGCCGCGUGUGUGAAGAAGGCCUUCGGGUUGUAAAGCACUUUCAGCGAGGAGGAAGGUGGUGAGCUUAAUACGCUCAUCAAUUGACGUUACUCGCAGAAGAAGCACCGGCUAACUCCGUGCCAGCAGCCGCGGUAAUACGGAGGGUGCAAGCGUUAAUCGGAAUUACUGGGCGUAAAGCGCACGCAGGCGGUUUGUUAAGUCAGAUGUGAAAUCCCCGGGCUCAACCUGGGAACUGCAUUUGAAACUGGCAAGCUAGAGUCUCGUAGAGGGGGGUAGAAUUCCAGGUGUAGCGGUGAAAUGCGUAGAGAUCUGGAGGAAUACCGGUGGCGAAGGCGGCCCCCUGGACGAAGACUGACGCUCAGGUGCGAAAGCGUGGGGAGCAAACAGGAUUAGAUACCCCUGGUAGUCCACGCUGUAAACGAUGUCGAUUUUGGNGGUUGUGCCCUUGAGGCGUGGCUUCCGGAGCUAACGCGUUAAA